CUUGUGGCCAUAUCAUGUUGAAAUACUGGAUCUCAUCUGAUCAACAAAGUUAAGCAACAUUGAACCUGGUUAAUAUCUAGAUGGGUGACCACUUGGGAAUACCAGAUGCUGUAAG